rnacentral:rRNA from 1 species
UGGGAAGUAAAAAAUCGUUACUUUUUUUCCGUAGGUGAACCUGCGGAAGGAUCAUUA